rnacentral:rRNA from 1 species
UACGUAGGGGGCAAGCGUUGUCCGGAAUCAUUGGGCGUAAAGCGCGUGUAGGCGGCUAGGUAAGUCUGCUCUGAAAGCCCGGGGCUCAACCCCGGGAGGCGGGUGGAUACUGUCUAGCUCGAGUCCGGAAGAGGAGUGUGGAAUUCCUGGUGUAGCGGUGAAAUGCGCAGAUAUCAGGAGGAACACCAAUGGCGAAGGCAGCACUCUGGGACGUGACUGACGCUGAGACGCGAAAGCGUGGGGAGCGAACAGG